rnacentral:rRNA from 1 species
UAGAGUUUGAUCCAUGGCUCAGGAUUAACGCUGGCGGUGUGCUUUAUACAUGCAAGUCGAACGCCUUGCACCGCAAGGUGCAGGGAGUGGCAAACGGGUGAGUAACACGUGGGUAACCUACCCUCAAGUGGGGAAUAACUUGCCGAAAGGUGGGCUAAUACCGCAUAUGGUAAGAAGAUGCAAUUUCUUUUUACUAAAGAUUUAUCGCUUGAGGAGGGGCCUGCGCCUGAUUAGCUUGUUGGUGGGGUAAUAGCUCACCAAGGCUCUGAUCAGUAGCUGGACUGAGAGGUUGGUCAGCCACACUGGAACUGAGAUACGGUCCAGACUCCUACGGGAGGCAGCAGUAAGGAAUCUUCCACAAUGGGCGCAAGCCUGAUGGAGCGACACCGCGUGUAGGAUGAAGGCCUUCGGGUCGUAAACUACUUUUUUGUGGGACGAAAAUUCGGACUGACCACAAGAAUAAGCUCGCC